UACGGAGGGUGCGAGCGUUGUCCGGAAUCACUGGGCGUAAAGGGCGCGUAGGCGGCCCGAUAAGUAGGGGGUGAAAUCCUGCGGCUUAACCGCAGGGCUGCCUUCUAAACUGUCAGGCUAGAGCACAGUAGAGGCAGGUGGAAUUCCCGGUGUAGCGGUGGAAUGCGUAGAGAUCGGGAAGAACAUCAGUGGCGAAGGCGGCCUGCUGGGCUGUUGCUGACGCUGAGGCGCGACAGCGUGGGGAGCAAACAGG
rnacentral:rRNA from 1 species